GAAUAGUUCGGUCGGCAGAGUGUGAGACUCUCAAUCUCGAGGUCAUGGGUUAUAGCCCCACGUUGGGCA